AACGAACGCUGGCGGCAGGCCUAACACAUGCAAGUCGAGCGCGCCCUUCGGGGUGAGCGGCGGACGGGUGAGUAACGCGUGGGAACGUGCCCUUCUCUGCGGAAUAGCCUCGGGAAACUGAGAGUAAUACCGCAUACGCCCUUUGGGGGAAAGAUUUAUCGGAGAAGGAUCGGCCCGCGUUGGAUUAGGUUGUUGGUGGGGUAAUGGCCCACCAAGCCGACGAUCCAUAGCUGGUUUGAGAGGAUGAUCAGCCACACUGGGACUGAGACACGGCCCAGCCUCCUACGGGAGGCAGCAGUGGGGAAUCUUAGACAAUGGGGGCAACCCUGAUCUAGCCAUGCCGCGUGAGUGAUGAAGGCCUUAGGGUUGUAAAGCUCUUUCAGCUGGGAAGAUAAUGACGGUACCAGCAGAAGAAGCCCCGGCUAACUCCGUG
rnacentral:rRNA from 1 species